AGUUUGAUCCUGGCUCAGGAUGAACGCUAGCGGCAGGCUUAAUACAUGCAAGUCGUGGGGCAGCAGCUCUGUAGCAAUACAGAGGCUGGCGACCGGCAAACGGGUGCGGAACACGUACGCAAUCUACCCAAAACUGGUGAAUAGCCCUCCGAAAGGAGGAUUAAUACACCGUAACCUAUUGAAGUGGCAUCACUUUAUUAGUAUAGCUCCGGCGGUUUUGGAUGAGCGUGCGGCUGAUUAGAUAGUUGGCGGGGUAACGGCCCACCAAGUCUGCGAUCAGUAACUGGUGUGAGAGCACGACCAGUCACACGGGCACUGAGACACGGGCCCGACUCCUACGGGAGGCAGCAGUAAGGAAUAUUGGUCAAUGGACGCAAGUCUGAACCAGCCAUGCCGCGUGAAGGAUGAAGGUCCUCUGGAUUGUAAACUUCUUUUAUAGGGGACGAAACCUCUUUUUCUAAAGAGACUGACGGUACCCUAGGAAUAAGCACCGGCUAACUCCGUG
rnacentral:rRNA from 1 species